UUGAGGAUCAACCAAUCAGAAGACGAUCGCCGUCGGAAAGAUGCUUGUGGUUUGCAGAAUGGAAAGCACCUUGCUGCGGAAAAUAUUUUCACUUCUACGUGAAAAUCUAACAAGAAAAUUGACCUGUCAAAUACAAGAUACAGAGUGCCAGUCCCACUAUGAUGAAGUAUUAAAAGCUUUAAAAUGGUUGGAAAGCUUUAUUAUUUGAACAGGAAACAGAUAUGAAUGAAUGAAGAUUUGGAUCCCUCUUCAAUUCAUCUGAAAACCUGAUGAUUGAGCGUUCUUGCAAAAAAUGUACCUAAGGUGUCAGAUGGGCUAGUGCAUUCAUUUCCAUAAUCUGGACUCAGUGACUGUUCAAGGCUUUACUCAAUACCUGAGUGUACAUUUCCAGCUACUAUUUACAAUGAUUUAUGUGUAACCUAAAUUUAAUAUUGUUACACU